GAUGAACGCUGGCGGUGUGCCUAAUACAUGCAAGUCGAGCGAACGGACGAGAAGCUUGCUUUUCUGAUGUUAGCGGUGGACGGGUGAGUAACACGUGGAUAACCUACCUAUAAGACUGGGAUAACUUCGGGAAACCGGAGCUAAUACCGGAUAAUAUUUUGAACCGCAUGGUUCAAAAGUGAAAGACGGUCUUGCUGUCACUUAUAGAUGGAUCCGCGCUGCAUUAGCUAGUUGGUAAGGUAACGGCUUACCAAGGCAACGAUGCAUAGCCGACCUGAGAGGGUGAUCGGCCACACUGGAACUGAGACACGGUCCAGACUCCUACGGGAGGCAGCAGUAGGGAAUCUUCCGCAAUGGGCGAAAGCCUGACGGAGCAACGCCGCGUGAGUGAUGAAGGUCUUCGGAUCGUAAAACUCUGUUAUUAGGGAAGAACAUAUGUGUAAGUAACUGUGCACAUCUUGACGGUACCUAAUCAGAAAGCCACGGCUAACUACGUG
rnacentral:rRNA from 1 species